rnacentral:misc_RNA from 1 species
UACGUAGGGUGCGAGCGUUAAUCGGAAUUACUGGGCGUAAAGCGUGCGCAGGCGGUCUUGUAAGCCAGAUGUGAAAUCCCCGGGCUUAACCUGGGAAUGGCAUUUGGGACUGCAAGGCUGGAGUUUGGCAGAGGAGACUGGAAUUCCCGGUGUAGCAGUGAAAUGCGUAGAUAUCGGGAGGAAUACCGAUGGCGAAGGCAGGUCUCUGGGCUAUAACUGACGCUCAUGCACGAAAGCGUGGGGAGCAAACAGG